GCAUUUGGGUAGUAGCCAUGCGAGUUGAUGGGAUACCUAACCUUCCCAUAGCAAACUGCUUAGUAACACAUGAUCAACUUGCCCUAUGGAGAAAAAUAACCUCGGGAAACUGAGGAUAAUGUUUCAUAGUUGAAUAGGCUUGGAAAAGUUUUUCAAUGAAAGGAAUAAGAUAAAUGGUUCUUAUUUGCCAUAGGAUAGGAUCGUGGUCGAUUAUGGUAGUUGGUGAGAUAACGGCUCACCAAGCCGAUAAUCGAUAGGGGCCGUGAGAGCGGGAGCCCCAAGAUGGGUACUGAGACAGCGACUCAGGCCUUACGAGGCGCAGCAGGCGCGAAACCUCCGCAAUACACGAAAGUGUGACGGGGUUACCCAAAGUGUUCUCUUUAGAACUGUGGUAGGUGAGUAAUGUCCCCUACUAGAAAGGAGAGGGCAAGGCUGGUGCCAGCCGCCGCGGUAAAACCAGCUCUUCAAGUGGUCGGGAUAAUUAUUGGGCUUAAAGUGUCCGUAGCCGGUUUAGUUAGUUCCUGGUAAAAUCGGGUAGCUUAACUAUCUGCAUGCUAGGAAUACUGCUAUACUAGAGGGCGGGAGAAGUCUGAGGUACUACAGGGGUAGGGGUGAAAUCUUAUAAUCCUUGUAGGACCACCAGUGGCGAAGGCGUCAGACUGGAACGCGCCUGACGGUGAGGGACGAAAGCCAGGGGAGCGAACCGGAUUAGAUACGUCGGUGCUAGAUUAAUCUAAUAUGAUCUAACAUCACGCUAAAAACCCGGGUAGUCCUGGCCGUAAACGAUGCAUACUAGGUGAUGGUACGGCCAUGAGCCGUAUCAGUGCCGUAGGGAAACCGUUAAGUGUGCCGCCUGGGAAGUACGGCCGCAAGGCUAAAACUUAAAGGAAUUGGCGGGGGAGCACCACAAGGGGUGAAGCCUGCGGUUCAAUUGGAUUCAACGCCGGA
rnacentral:rRNA from 1 species